rnacentral:lncRNA from 1 species
AUUCCAUAAUUAUUCAAAUAGAAUCUCCAUCACCCGCACAAUCUUGAUCGACGUUCCACGAUCUUCUACUGUAUUACCCAAAUAAUAUCCGAAAAUUAGCAAUUUCGUAUGGGCGAAAUUUCUAGGAAAAUAUGGCUGAAGAUUCCACCAUCACUCUCACUUUUCUAGAAGGAAAACCUUAUGUAUUUAUAACACAAGUUUUAAGGGUUAAACUUCUUUUCCAAAACCUGUUAGGUUUUCUUUUCCACCAUAAAAAGGUUUAUGUUAUAAAUAGAAUUUUAUUUAUGGUGAAUGUUUAUAUGUAGAGAGAUUCUAGGGUUUAUUACUUGGUGGCUAAGUCACCCUCUCCCUAUAAAUAUAGAGUUAUAUUCCAUUGUAAAUCAUCCCAUAUCAAUAAGAAUUGUAUUCUCUCUACUUUUCUCUGCAAUACUCUUCUUCUUCUUUUAUUAUUUUAUAACACUUUAUCAGUAUGAUACUCUAAUCAAUUGAGUAGAAGUUUUGGGAUUGAGAAUAAUGAUUGUCAAUUGUUCCAUGAAGUUACUUCAUGAUUAAAUUCUGGAUUUCAAGUAAGUAUUUUACUUUCUCUUACAAAUUCUUGACAUUCUAUAAUUUGAUUUUAAAUACAAGCAUAGACAAUAAAUUUUGAUUGCAACUCUAAUGGAGUUUGAAAGAAAUUAUAACCACCCAAAGUGGUAAAAAUUACUAUAUCUUGCCAUGAUCAAAAUCAUAUAUAAUUGUGGCCAAAGAAUUGAAAACUUCCCAUUUAAUUUGCUCCAUUCUCAUUCUCUUUAGAGAAUGUGGUAGCAGUAUGUGAUAAGUCUUAAAUAAGAUAAUUACUACUAUGAAUGUAUCAAUAUAUAUGAACUUGGUAAUAGACGAAUAAAUUAUAAUCUUCAUUAUUGGGUAAUGAAAAUAAUAAGGAUUCUCAAAAGUAAUCCUUCACUCUGUGAAAGUAAUGUUUGUCAUCGAUUUGACAUGAAAUUUUGUAAAGCACAUAUAGAUGAUUAUGGUCCAUUCAUGAUGUGAAUGUAACAACGUGUAAUUUAUGAAUACAUAUUCAUUAUUGGAAGAAUAUGAACGUGCUAGUGGUGGUGAAUAUACCACACUCACCUCUAGAGGAAGAUUUGAGAUGAAAUAAGAAAAUAAUGUCAUUAUCAUGGCAUGAAUAUCACCGGUCAUGUACCUAUGUACGCCAAAUAAUCUGGUAAUGUGAUUAUUAUAGGACAACAAUGAUGCAAGAAACAGAACUUGCAUAUAAUUAUUACAAUAACCAUAAUGAUAUAAUUUUCUCUUUGAAAUAGAUAUAUGACCAUAUGAAUGUUGAUGAAUAUGUGGUAGUACAAAAUUAAUUGAGAGCUCUGGAAGAGCCAAUUAUCCUAUUUUGAAGAAAUACAAUUGAUUACCGAUAAGGUAUUAUGUUGUAGUAAGUCUCAAAGAAACUUAUUUAGUUUCCAAAGUACACGCGAAAGCAGUUGAUUAUAUUGAGACUAUAGAUAAAUGAAAAUUUUAAUAUUUUUUGUUACUACAACUUGCAGUGGGAUAAUAUUUAUGUGAAAAGUUACCCGUUUUAUCCUUCAAUUUGUACUACACAAACAAAAAAAUGCCAUAAUAAAAUAGAAAUUUAUUGAUAUAAAACUCAUAACAUAAUAAACUUGGAGUUUAUUAAUAUCCAGUAGGAAUAAUCAGUUAGCCAUAUCAAUUUAAGUAUUAUGUAUAAAAAUAAAAGAGAAUUCACAUGGGUAAAUAUUAAAGGACUAGAAAGUUCUUUACGGAUUCUCUUAUGUUAAUUGCUCAUUAAUUAAUAGACCAACUAAAAUUGGGAUUGAAUCCCAUGUAUAUUGAAAAUAUCAAAGGUGAAUACGGGCUCCUUCACCUUCCAUAUAUAUUCCCUCCGUUCCAAUUUAUGUGAACCUGUUUGACUAGGCACAGAGUUUAAGAAAAAAUGAAGACCUUUAGAAUUUGUGGUCCUAAACAAGUCAAAAUGAGGUCCAGAGUAUUUGUGUGGUUAUAAAAGCUUCUCAUUAAGGGUAGAAUUGUAAGUUUAAGCUAAAUUGUUACCAAAUUUAGAAAUGGUCAUUCUUUUUGGAAUGGACAAAAAAGAAAAUAAGUUCACAUAAACUGGAAUGGAGGGAGUAUAACAUAAAAUGCAUUUAUAAGAUAGUUAUAUGUGCAAUUACUAUUAACUCACAACAUGGUAUUUUGCAAGGUAAUUUGCUCAAUAGUUUAUUUCAAGCAUAAUUUCUAGAUUUUCUAUUCAAGAAGUUCAUCUUAAUGUAAUGACUCGACCAAUCGUCUCAGGUAUCUCCGCCCCGUUUCCCCAUUCUAUGCUUCUAAAUAUUUUAUUAUAUGUCUUUGGUGAAUUUGAAGUAAUUCGGAUAGAGAUCGGUUAGAAAUGAGACAAUUAGUCUCUUUGAAGGUUAGUUUAGGAAAAGUCAAUCCAGUGUUGACUUAUGAGUUAGAGGGCUCAGAAUGGAUUUCUGAUGAUUCGACUAGUUUCGGGUGAUGAAUUGUGACUUAGGAGCGUAAUCGAAAUUGAAUUUGGAAGUCCGGUGUAGAAUUAGGCUUGAAUUGGCUAAGUUUGAAUUUUGGCGAAUUCCGGUUGAUAGGUGAGAUUUUGAUAUGGGGGUCGGAAUGGAAUUACGACAGUUGCAGUAGAUCCGUUAAGUGAUUUUGGAUAUGCAUGCAAAUUUUCAAAUCAUUCGGAUAUCGUUUGGUUGAGUUUUUUAUCAAAUACAAGUUUCGGGAGUUUUAGUUUAACUUAGGCAUGAAUCCAUGGUAAUUCGAUGAUCUUGAUGUUUACUGUGGUGAUUUUAUUGCUUGAGAAAGUUUGAGUGAGAUAUUAGAGCAUAUAUGUGUUUUUGGUUGAGGUCCGAGGGCGAUUUGAAGAGAGGUUCAACCGGUAUUGAUUGGAGGUAAGUCUCUUGACUUGGAAACACCAUUUUUAUAAAGAAUCAACCCUCAAAUCCAUGAAAAUAGGUUGAAAUUGUGAAGAACUAGGGCUUGGUUUUUGAAAACGAAUUUUUUGGAUUUGAAAGGACAUAUGAGCUCCGUUUUUGACAAAGUUUAUAUGUACGGACUCAUGGCGGGACGAAGAAUCCAUUGAUGUGAUUUUCAGAAUUUUUCGAGAAGUGGGAUCGGGGCUCGGGUUUUAGCAACUUCGUGAUUUUUAGUACUUUUCGAGUAUUUUUGAUUGGGUUAUGUUUCGUUAGCCCAUAUUUAUGUAUUCCUUGUGGGUUUGACUAGAUUCGACGCGCAUAGAGGAAGAUUUAAAAGGAAAAGGCAUUGCAGACCAGUCUACGGCCGGUUAGAGGUGAGUAGUUUGUAUAGAAGAUGGCCUGAGGGUUUAAAACCCCGGUUUAUAUAUUGUGACGCUAUGUUAGGGCGUGACUCGCACCACAUGGCAGGUGCAGGAUUGUUUAAGACUGGGGAUUGUGACUUGGUCUAUCGCGAACAAGAAUUAUAUUAUAUUGGCGACUGAUACGCACACUGUAUUGAUUACAUCUGGGCCUAUUUCCAUGUUUUGGGCCUUGUGCCAAUCUGUAGCAUCCGUCUAUGAUGAAUACCAUUGUGAUAGCAUGAUUUUUAUAAUCAUUAAACUCAGUCCUUUGUUUAAUCAUUGUUAUGAAAAGCUAAGUCACCUUUUUCCUGAAGUUAAAUAACUAAAUCAUAUUAUUCAUAAUAAUUGGAAACUGGGAAAUUGAUUAAAUCUGUUAUGUGACUCAUAUGCAUACUGUGGACUGAGUUUGGAUCAGUCUACACGCUGCAACAGUGAGGCUUUAUAUGGUAAGAGGUGCAGAUCUCUGGUAGUUUGGUUCGAGCCGGGUGAGGCAAGGCUAGUGGGGACAGACUUGGUUCAAGAUGCGUUGGAAAAGGUUAAAGUGAUUCAGGAUAUACUCCGCACAGCCAGUCUAGACAGAAGAGUUAUGUGGACUGGAAGGUUCGUGAUGUUUCCUAUAUGGUUGGUGAGUGGGUUCUGCUUCGGGUUUCGCCUGUGAAGGGCGUUAUGAGAUUUGGGAAGAAAGGGAUGAGUCUGAGGUUUAUUGACCCUUUUGAGAUAUUGAGAUGUGUUGGGGAGGUUUUUUAUGAACUUGCCUUGCCUCCUAGCCUAGUAGGAGUUUAUCUGGUACUUCAUGUUCCGAUGCUCUGGAGGUAUCAUGGGGACCCGUCGCACGUGUUGGAUUUCUAUUCAGUCCAUUUUGAUCUAUCCUAUGUUGAGGAGCCAGAAACUAUAUUGGACAGAUAGGUCAGAAAGUUGAGAUCAAAGUACAUCGCUUCAUUAAAGGUUCAAUGGCGGGGUCACCCGGUCGAGGAGGCGACUUGGGAGACCGAGCGCGAUAUAGCGCAUCCAAUACCCUCAUCUUUUCCCUACUCCAGGUAUGUUCUCUAUGCUCGUUCGAGGACAAACAAAUUUUUAAGUGUGGGAGGAUGUAACGACCCGGCUGGUCGUAUUUAAAAAUUUACGCCCUGAUCCCCUAUUAACAGCUUCCCCUACGCGUAUUUCUGCUAUUUUGGUUUGCUGGGACGUUCAGUGUUGGGUUUUGAGGAGUUUUGGGACACUUAGUCCCUUAAUGAGAGCGUAAGUGUUGGAAUGUUGUCGAUAGUCAGAACAAUGUACAGAUGGCCUCGGAAUGGAAAUCCAAUGGUUCUGUUAGUUCCGUUCGUUGAUUUUAGGGUUAGGAGCAUGUUCGGUAUGCGUUUUGGAGGUCUGUAUCUAAUUUAAACUUGAAAUGUCGAAGUUUGAAAUAUUGAAGUUUCCGGUCCGAAAGUGAAAUUUUGAUAUGAGGGUCAGAAUGGAAUUCUGAAAGUUUCAGUAGCUCCAUCAUGUCAUUUGGGAUGUGUAUGCAAAAUUUCAGGUCAUUCAGACAUGCUUUGGUUAGGUUUUUGAUCAAAAGCAUGUUUUGAGGGAAUUUUAAGUUCUUAGGCUUAAAUCAUUGAUUAAUUCGAGUUUCCGGCAUUGUUUUGGGUGGUUUAAGAAUUUGUACAAGUUUGAAUGAUAUUGUGGGAUAUGCCUGUAGGUUUGGUUGAGAUCCCUGGGGCCUCGGGUGUAUUUCGGAUGCUUAACGAGUCAUUUUCUCCUAUUUUUGAACUGUUGUUGCUGCUUCUGAUAUCCCUUCUUCACGUUUGCGAAAGCUUAGUUUGACAACCUGGGAAUUUCCUCUUCGCGUUCGCAUAACCCCUCCCGCGUUCGCAACGCGCAGCUUACUUUCCCAUCGCAUUCGCUUAAGAAUCCAUGCGUUCGCGUCCCCACUCCAGUCCACUCUUCGCGCUCGAGAGUGCUUUCAUGCGUUCGCGUAGAGCAGCUUCUGGACCUCACUAUUUUCUUCAUCGCAUUCGCAUUCCAAACGUCGCAUUUGCGUAGCUUCGUGAUCCCAGGCCUUCGCAUUCGUGUUCUGCCCCUCGCGAUCGCGAAUGGAAUUUUCGGAAACUUUAAUUUUUCAUCUUCACGAACGCGAGCUUGCCUCUACGUUCGCAAUGAAUUAAAUGUUUGGACAAUAUUAAACAUCCCAAAACCGAGGGUUCCCCAUUUUCAUCAAUAUACAAGCUUGGGAGCUCGGUUUUGGGAGAAAUGUCAAGAGACUUUCGAGGGCAACGUUGGGUAAUGAUUCUCUACUCGCUUAUACAUAAAACCCACUAACCUAAUCACGAAUUCCUCAUUAUUUUCAAAUUUUUGAAUGAAAAAUGGGUCAAACUUUAUAGACCAAAUUAGUCAAUUUUUGAGUGGAUAUUUGACCUCUGGUUGGAGAGAUUUUUUAUAUGGUUAGACUCGUGAGAGUACGAGGGUUCUGAAAAUGUAAAAUUUAUCCGAUUCAGAGACGUUGGCCUGAAGGGAAAUUUGGUUAUUUUACCUAAUUUCACGCGUUAGCUUUGAAUUAAAUAGUAGAAUCAGUUGCUUGAGAUGUUAUUUCCAAUAUGUAAUUGAAUUGAAUAGGUUUGAGCCAUUUGGAGUCGGAUACUCAUGGCAAAUGCGUGAUUUGUACUUGAUUUUGAGUCGGUUCGAGGUAAGUAGCUUGUCUAACCUUGUGUGGAGGACCUUUCCCCUUAGGAUGUGAUGUCACACCUCCUUGUUCACUACACUCGCAGAAGGCGUAAAGGAGUUUUUCCAAUUAAAGGACAAUCGGAACGAGAUCUAUUAUUAAGGUUCAGAGUCGCCACUUGGGAAAUUAAUAAUGUCCCAUGUCACCAGUUAAAACCCGAACCGAGAAAAAUUAUGACUCUGCUAACAGUCCGCGAACCAAAUAUCCGGAUAAGGAAUUCUAUUAACCCGGGAGAAGGUGUUAGGCAUUCCCAGGUUCCGUGGUUCUGACACGGUCGCUCAACUGUCGCAUUUAGCUUAUUAACUGAUUUUAUUACAUGAUGAACCUAUGUACCAGUUUUUUACUUUUUACCGCGUAUUAUUCAAUAUGUAUCUUUUAAAAGAAAUGUUAACGCCAUUUAAAGCGUGCCUUCGGAUCACGUCACAUGAAAUGCACACGCAAUCUUAAGCACACUUUAUUCAACAUUUUGGGAUUUGAUUUGGGUCGCAUGAAAUGUACACCCGAGUUUAAGAAUGUAAUUUUAUUAGAAUCAGGUCUGAAGAAUCUAACGUGUUAUUAUCUUUUCGGAGGGCCGUGAAAUUCACUAAACGACCCUUCCCAAUUAUCUAAAUAUUCUUAAAACCUUUAUUGAGGGCCCCUCCAUUUUUGCAUUUUAUCGGACAAGGCUCAUCUUAUUAUUUUAUUUAAGGCCAACCUAGAAGUAACUAUGAUUUUUCUAUUUUUGUCUCUAACAAAAAAACCUAACUACUUAUUACUAAAAAAAACCUUCCCUUGUAUUGAGAUCCACAAAUCCUCUGCUUUGUUACGCUCCCAGAAUGUAAUUUUGCCUCUGUACUUAUGCCAUACGCCCAAACUUAUCUAAGCAACCAUAUUGUUUUCCAAGCCAAAUCUAAACAAUCAGACAAUAGCCAAUAAAUAGCAAGUUGAACCGGAAACUUUGAUAAUCCAAGCAGCUACAAACAAUUGUCCACGAAAGGAUUUUGACUAAUCUUAGAAACCAAUAUGUACAUGUAAAAUAGACGGAAAACACCACCACAACAACAAUUACGAUGCAAACUAUAAUCGUAGUAAUACUGACAACACUUGGCCCCUUCUUGAUUAGUGACGCUAAAAAACAUAUGCCAAUGAAAGUGGUCAAAAUAGACAACCACGUCAUGAAAUAUGAAACCAAUCCAGUCAUUGUGAUCCAGAAAUAUUGCACUCCAACUCAUUUAACGGGGAUUUGCGAGGAAAUAAAGAACAGAAGGGUGGAAAAAGGAUCUGCUCAGCCGCAGCUCGUUCUAAAUAUCGAAUCAACAGAUACAGAACUCACUUCCACAGUUCGAUCAAGGACAGCUAUAAAAUCGAGCAAAAGCCAACGAACCAAAUCGAAACGACGAACAGGCCUUAAUUAGACACAGACUAUCCAGCAGACUGAACACUUUGCGAACCAUCAGCGCAGAAUUUUGCACUUAAAACUAUGCAAAGUUGUUGCUUAAACAGUGCAAAUUAGGACAGAUUAACUCAAUUUAACAAACUUCAGCUGCUUAAAUUUGAGUCGCAUUUGGUUACUUUCAAAAGUUCGGUGGCAAGGACUCAGAUUGAUUACCUGCUCCUCAGACGAAGUGACAGAGGUUUGUACAAGGACUGCAAGGUUAUUCCGAGAUAGUCCCUUUCGACUCUCCAUAGUCUCCUAGUUAUGGAUGUCGAUCUCUGAGUGAAAAGGAAGAAAGCGGCGCUCGGGGCCAAUCGCGGAUCAGAUGGGGUACUUUGACUAGGGAGAAAGCCCAGGAGUUUUAGAGGAGGUUAGUUGAUGGUGGAGCUUGGAGAAGUUCUGGGCGAUGCGGACUCAAUGUGGUUAGAGACAGCGCACUUGGUUAGGGAGGUAGCACGGGAUGUGCUUGGGGUAACCAAGGGCUAUUCAGGCAGACAUCUGAGUGACUGGUGGUGGAACGUUGUAGUCCAAGGAAAGGUGGAGGCGAAGAAGGCGGCGUUUGGUAAGUUGACAGGGAGCACAAGCGGGGAAGAAAGGAGGGUGAACAGGGAGAGCUAAAAAUGUGGCAUUUAGUCACAUGUACGAGAAAUUGGGGGAGAAAGGCGGUGACAAAAAGUUAUUCCGGUUAGGUAAAGUGAGGUAGAGGAAGGCGCGGGAUCUAGACAACGUUAGGCGCAUCAAGGACGAAAAUGGUAAAGUUCUGAUGAAGGAGUCUCGAGUCAAGCAGAGAUGGCAGGCGUAUUUCCGAGACCUUCUUAACGAGAAGGGGGAUCGAGUCAUAGAACUAGAGGAGCUAGGGAAUUCAGAGCGUCAUAGAGACAUUGGAUACUGCAUGCGCAUUAGGAUGGAGAAGGUCGUUGGGGCUUUGCGUAGGAUGAGUAGGGGUCGAGCAACCGGGCCAGACGAAAUCCCGUUGGAUUUCUGAAAAUGAAUGGGUAGGUCAGGAGUAGAGUGGUUGUCCAGGUUGUUUAAAGUGAUCUUCAGGACCAAGAGGAUGCCUGAGGAGUGGAGGUGGAGUAUAGUGGUGCCUUGUACAAGAACAAAUGGGAUAUCCAAUGUUGCAACAACUAUAGGGUAUCAAAUUAAUGAGUCACACCAUGAAGGUCUGGGAGUGGGUAGUCGAGGCGAGGGUGAGGGAGUCGACAUCUGUAUCUGCGAACCAGUUCGGUUUUAUGCCGGGGCGCUCCACCACAGAAGCUAUCCACCUUGUCAGGAGAUUCAUGGAAAAGUUUAGGAAUAAGAAAAAGGAUCUGCACAUGGUGUUUAUCGACUUGGAGAAGCCGUAUGACAAGGUCCCGAGGGAGGUGCUAUGGAGGUGCCUUGAGGCGAAGAGUGUGCCGGAAGCCUACAUUAGAAAAAUCAAGGACAUAUACGAUGGCGCUAAGACUAGGGUUAGGACGGUGGGUGGUGACUCGGACCAUUUCCCGGUGGUUAUGGGGCUUCAUCAAGGAUCUGCCCUUAGCCCUCCCUUGUUUGCCUUGGUGAUGGAUGCUCUAACUCAUCAUAUUCAAGGGGAUGUGCCUUGGUGUAUGCUAUUUGCUGAUGACAUAGUCUUGAUAGAUGAGACGAGGGUCGGUGUUAUCAUAUUCAAGGGGAUGUGCCUUGGUGUAUGCUAUUUGCUGAUGACAUAGUCUUGAUAGACGAGAUGAGGGUUGGCGUUAACGAGAGUUUGGAGGUCUGCAAAACAGACUCUAGAGUCUAAGGGUUUCAAACUAAGCAGGUCUAAGACAGAAUACCUUGAGUGCAAAUUCAGCGCCAAGCCGAGCGAAGUAGGCAAGGACGUGAAGCUUGGAACUCAGGUUAUCGCUAAGAGGGACAGUGUCAGAUAUCUUGGGCCGGUGAUCCAGGGGGAUGGAGAAAUCGAUGGGGAUGUCACUCACCGCAUAGGGGCGGCGUGGCAAAGUGGAGGCUUGCAUCAGGAGUCUUGUACUAUCCAGCAGACUGAACACUUUGCGAACCAUCAGCGCAGAAUUUUGCACUUAAAACUAUGCAAAGUUGUUGCUUAAACAGUGCAAAUUAGGACAGAUUAACUCAAUUUAACAAACUUCAGCUGCUCANNNNNNNNNNNNNNNNNNNNNNNNNNNNNNNNNNNNNNNNNNNNNNNNNNNNNNNNNNNNNNNNNNNNNNNNNNNNNNNNNNNNNNNNNNNNNNNNNNNNNNNNNNNNNNNNNNNNNNNNNNNNNNNNNNNNNNNNNNNNNNNNNNNNNNNNNNNNNNNNNNNNNNNNNNNNNNNNNNNNNNNNNNNNNNNNNNNNNNNNNNNNNNNNNNNNNNNNNNNNNNNNNNNNNNNNNNNNNNNNNNNNNNNNNNNNNNNNNNNNNNNNNNNNNNNNNNNNNNNNNNNNNNNUGCAUCAGGAGUCUUGUGUGACAAGAAAGUGCCACAGAAACUCAAGAGGAAGUUUUAUAGAGCUAUGGUUAGACCUUCCAUGUUACAUGGGGCGGAGUGAUGGCCGGUGAAGAACUCACAUGUUCAAAGGAUGAAGGUUGCGGAGAUGUGGAUGCUCAGGUGGAUGUGCGGGCUCACGAGGUUAGAUAAGCUUAGGAAUUAAAUUAUUUGGGAGAAAGUGGGGGCGACCCCAGUGGAUGAGAAAAUGCGAGAAGCGAGGCUCAGGUGGUUCGGGCAUGUGAGGAGGAGAAGUCCUAAUGCCCCGGUGAGGAGUUGUGAGCGGCUGGCGGUGGUCAGCGUGAGUCGAGGCAGAGGGAGGCCUAAGAGGUAUUGGGGAGACGUGAUUAGACAGGACAUGGCUAAAAUGCGAAUUUCCAAGGACAUGACGCUUGAUAGGAAAGUCUGGAGGUCUAGUAUUAGAGUUUUGGGAUAGGGGCGUCUAGAAAUUUUCGCACUCCAUUACCGGGGCUGGGUGGGGUUUGGUAGGGCUCUCCAUAGAUGAUCUGUGUAUUGGAUUGUUCCCACCUAUGGUAGUUACUGUUUAAUAUUAUUCCAUGCAAUUAUAUAUGUGUCUGGAGGUCUAGUAUUAGAGUUUUGGGAUAGGGGCGUCUAGAAAUUUUCGCACUCCAUUACCGGGGCUGGGUGGGGUUUGGUAGGGCUCUCCAUAGAUGAUCUGUGUAUUGGAUUGUUCCCACCUAUGGUAGUUACUGUUUAAUAUUAUUCCAUGCAAAUACUGAAGUUAAUUUGUUUUUGUUUUUGUUUCACUUUUCCUUUCCUAAGCCGAUGGUCGAUUGGAAACAAACUCUCUGCCCUUUUGGGUAGGGGUAAGGCUUGUGUACAUAUUAUCAGACCCUACUUUGUGGAACUAUACUGGGUAGUUGUUGUAACAGCUACUAUCAACUAGACUACACUCGAUGACAGUCUCAAAACUUCGACGUAAAGCGAAAUAGUACUCUCAACUAGCAGUCAUGAAGAAUCAACAGCAAUUAAGAAAGGUAUUUCACUUAACACAAUGUUGCCAGAAAGUAUUUGCGAAAUAGAAAGCUUCAACCAAUGAGCUGAAUUCACAAAGACGAAGUUGAAGAUGUCCGUCCUCGCGGAAAGAUUUAGUUAAAGCGAUAAAUUAAAAUGGCGACAACAGGAACUUAACUCUGACUCUUUUGCAUCCUAACACAAGGUUGCAAUACGGAUUUGCGACUCAAAUUAACUAAACUACUCCAAAGGAAGAAUCAGUAACAAACAGAAACAAAUAGACCAGAGGAGACAUGCAGAAAUCAAUGAAAACAGCAAAGGUCAUGUCAAGAAUUGCAUUACGGAGUGGUUACGCAUAAUCAAACUCAUAAACACUCCCAAUAUAACAAAGUCUCAAUUAUCAUCACAAUUGAUCAAUGCCAGAACAAGCAAAGAAAGAUUAAAGAGAUAGACCUGAAAUCGAACCUUUCUUUUGAUAACAUAAGCGAAAUCGAUUACAAAGAUUUGACCUCAAAAUUUCAGCGAGGAAACGACAGCAACUCAAACUUAAAGAACAGCAAACCCGUAGCAAAAAUGAGUAGGAAUCAAAAGCUCCGACAGCAACGAACUCAGCAACUUUCAAUAGAGCUCCACUUUCAAAUGAACUCCAGCCCAGAAAGAAAAGAUAAAGUAUAUUUUUUCUGAUUUUUUGAAAGUAAUUGAAAACGAAACUGAUAUAAGAAAUAUAUAUAUAUA